AUUGAACGCUGGCGGCAUGCCUUACACAUGCAAGUCGAGCGGUAGCGCGGGGGCAACCCUGGCGGCGAGCGGCGAACGGGUGAGUAAUGCAUCGGAACGUGUCCUCUUGUGGGGGAUAACCAGUCGAAAGACUGGCUAAUACCGCAUGAGAUCGCAAGAUGAAAGCAGGGGACCCGCAAGGGCCUUGCGCGAGAGGAGCGGCCGAUGCCCGAUUAGCUAGUUGGUGGGGUAAAAGCCUACCAAGGCGACGAUCAGUAGCUGGUCUGAGAGGACGACCAGCCACACUGGGACUGAGACACGGCCCAGACUCCUACGGGAGGCAGCAGUGGGGAAUUUUGGACAAUGGGGGCAACCCUGAUCCAGCCAUGCCGCGUGUGUGAAGAAGGCCUUCGGGUUGUAAAGCACUUUCGGCCGGAACGAAAUCGCGCGGGUGAACAUCCCGCGUGGAUGACGGUACCGGAAGAAGAAGCACCGGCUAACUACGUGCCAGCCGCCGCCGUAAAAC
rnacentral:rRNA from 1 species